GAGUCCGUGGCCGAAUGGUUGAGGCACCAAACUUUUAAUUUGGGUGAUGUGGGUUCGAGUCCCACCGGGCUUACUA
rnacentral:tRNA from 1 species